UAAACCUUUUCAAGCUUCCUUUUCUCAUCUAUAACUUGGAAUAAUACAUAACUCACUUGCUAUUGUGAGAAUAUAUUUCAAUACUUACAUAUAGGGUGUUGGCCCUGUCCUACCUGUCCUAAAUUCUGUGCUGGGCCCUGGAAACACAGGACUCUUCACUAAUUCAGCAAAUAUGUAUUAAACUACUACUGUGUUCCAGGUACUUUAUUCCAGGAAAAAAUAAAGGUAUGUUGAAAAGUUUUAA